AGCGAACGCUGGCGGCAGGCCUAACACAUGCAAGUCGAACGGAUCCUUCGGGAUUAGUGGCGGACGGGUGAGUAACACGUGGGAACGUGCCCUUUGGUUCGGAACAACUCAGGGAAACUUGAGCUAAUACCGGAUGUGCCCUUCGGGGGAAAGAUUUAUCGCCAUUGGAGCGGCCCGCGUCUGAUUAGCUAGUUGGUGAGGUAGAGGCUCACCAAGGCGACGAUCAGUAGCUGGUCUGAGAGGAUGAUCAGCCACAUUGGGACUGAGACACGGCCCAAACUCCUACGGGAGGCAGCAGUGGGGAAUCUUGCGCAAUGGGCGGAAGCCUGACGCAGCCAUGCCGCGUGAAUGAUGAAGGUCUUAGGAUUGUAAAAUUCUUUCACCGGGGACGAUAAUGACGGUACCCGGAGAAGAAGCCCCGGCUAACUUCGUGCCAGCAGCCGCAGUAACAC
rnacentral:rRNA from 1 species